rnacentral:rRNA from 1 species
GACGAACCGUGCGAACGUUGUUCGGAAUCACUGGGCUUAAAGGGCGCGUAGGCGGGCGAUCAAGUCAGGGGUGAAAUCCUCCAGCUUAACUGGAGAAUAGCUUUUGAUACUGGUCGUCUCGAGGGGGGUAGGGGCAUGUGGAACUUCCGGUGGAGCGGUGAAAUGCGUAGAUAUCGGAAGGAACGCCGGUGGCGAAAGCGAUGUGCUGGACCCUUUCUGACGCUGAGGCGCGAAAGCCAGGGGAGCAAACGGG